rnacentral:rRNA from 1 species
CACGGGGGGAGCAAGCGUUGUUCGGAAUCACUGGGCGUAAAGGGCGUGUAGGCGGUCAGGUAAGUGGGAUGUGAAAUGCCCCGGCUCACCCGGGGACCGGCAUCCCAUACUGCUUGGCUUGAGUACGGGAGAGGAUGUGGGAAUUCCUGGUGUAGCGGUGAAAUGCGUAGAUAUCAGGAAGAACACCCGUGGCGAAAGCGGCUCUCUGGAACGGUACUGACGCUGAGACGCGAAAGCGUGGGGAGCGAACAGG